UACGUAGGGUGCAAGCGUUGUCCGGAAUUAUUGGGCGUAAAGAGCUCGUAGGCGGCUUGUCGCGUCGACUGUGAAAACCCGAGGCUCAACCUCGGGCCUGCAGUCGAUACGGGCAAACUAGAGUACUGCAGGGGAGACUGGAAUUCCUGGUGUAGCGGUGAAAUGCGCAGAUAUCAGGAGGAACACCGGUGGCGAAGGCGGUUCUCUGGGCCUUACCUGACGCUGAGGAGCGAAAGCGUGGGGAGCGAACAGG
rnacentral:rRNA from 1 species